rnacentral:rRNA from 1 species
CCUACGGGUGGCUGCAGUGGGGGAUAUUGCACAAUGGGGGGAACCCUGAUGCAGCGACGCCGCGUGGGUGAAGGAGCGUUUCGGCUCGUAAAGCCCUAUCGGCAGGGAAGAAGGAGGACGGUACCUGACUAAGAAGCCCCGGCUAACUACGUGCCAGCAGCCGCGGUAAUACGGAGGGGGCAAGCGUUAUCCGGAUUUACUGGGUGUAAAGGGGGCGCAGACGGCAGCGCAAGCCAGGAGGGAAAGCCCAGGGCGCAACCCCGGAACUGCUUUUGAAACUGCGAGGCUGGAGUACAGGAGGGGUAGGCGGAAUUCCUGGUGUAGCGGUGAAAUGCGUAGAUAUCAGGAGGAACACCGAUGGCGAAGGCGGCCUGCUAGAAUGCGACUGACGUUGAGGCGCGAAAGCGUGGGGAGCAAACAGGAUUAGAUACCCCAGUAGUC